GACAGAGGAUGCAAGCGUUAUCCGGAAUGAUUGGGCGUAAAGCGUCUGUAGGUGGCUUUUUAAGUCCGCCGUCAAAUCCCAGGGCUCAACCCUGGACAGGCGGUGGAAACUACCAAGCUGGAGUACGGUAGGGGCAGAGGGAAUUUCCGGUGGAGCGGUGAAAUGCGUUGAUAUCGGAAGGAACGCCGGUGGCGAAAGCGCACUACUGGACCUCUUCUGACGCUGAGGCGCGAAAGCCAGGGAGCAAGCGGG
rnacentral:rRNA from 1 species